rnacentral:lncRNA from 1 species
UUAUAACCACCGGUUCAAUCCGUCUCCUUCCCUACACCUCUGACUGAGCUAAACGCAUUGCCCUUUUCCUUGAAACUGAACUCUGUCCCUGCUGACCCGCGCAUCCAUAAAAAAUCCUUCAGCGAAGUGAGGUUCCUCUCAACAUUUCUGGUUCACUUCAACGAUGUAACUCCUCCUCCUUUCCUUUUCUCUUGAGGAGGCGAAGCUUUCUUUGCCCAAAUCGGCAUUCCCCCGAUGAGACAUCCUUCUCAGUCGAAGAAAACUCUCGAACCCGUCCAGAAGUUGAGGAUGAAGCUGGUGAUGAAUUCAGUGCUCAAAAAAGGGUUUAGCCAGA